rnacentral:rRNA from 1 species
AGUGAACGCUGGCGGUAGGCCUAACACAUGCAAGUCGAACGGCAGCACAGUAAGAGCUUGCUCUUACGGGUGGCGAGUGGCGGACGGGUGAGGAAUACAUCGGAAUCUACUUUUUCGUGGGGGAUAACGUAGGGAAACUUACGCUAAUACCGCAUACGACCUACGGGUGAAAGCAGGGGAUCUUCGGACCUUGCGCGAUUGAAUGAGCCGAUGUCGGAUUAGCUAGUUGGCGGGGUAAAGGCCCACCAAGGCGACGAUCCGUAGCUGGUCUGAGAGGAUGAUCAGCCACACUGGAACUGAGACACGGUCCAGACUCCUACGGGAGGCAGCAGUGGGGAAUAUUGGACAAUGGGGGCAAGCCUGAUCCAGCCAUACCGCGUGGGUGAAGAAGGCCUUCGGGUUGUAAAGCCCUUUUGUUGGGAAAGAAAAGCAGCAGGUUAAUACCCCGCUGUUCUGACGGUACCCAAAGAAUAAGCACCGGCUAACUUCGCG